GAAGAUUGGACAUUCAAGAUGCUAACCAACAAGCGAGGAUCUGUCAUGCAUGAAUCUGAUUGGCUGAAACUGUUUCGAGUGAUUCCUGAUUGGCUGACCCAGGGUCGUUUCAGGUGAUGUGUUUAAGAUGAUUCAACAAUGGGUCUUGACCACAACUUCUGGGGCUGAGAAGGACAACAUACAGCUUACACAGGAACUGCUGCAAGGAGUUGGUAGAUGUUAUAGUUCGGAAGAAACAAGCUGAAUUGGAUUCAGA
rnacentral:lncRNA from 1 species